rnacentral:rRNA from 1 species
UACGGGGGGGGCAAGCGUUGUUCGGAAUUACUGGGCGUAAAGGGCUCGUAGGCGGCCAACUAAGUCAGACGUGAAAUCCCUCGGCUUAACCGGGGAACUGCGUCUGAUACUGGAUGGCUUGAGGUUGGGAGAGGGAUGCGGAAUUCCAGGUGUAGCGGUGAAAUGCGUAGAUAUCAUGAGGAAGACCAGUGGCGAAGGCGGGUCUCUGGACAGUUCCUGACACUGAGACACGAAGGCCAGGGGAGCAAACGGG